AGAUGACCUAUAUUUUUUGAAGGGUGAGUGAGAACACGGGGGGAGAUAAACUACCAGGUUCCAUUCUGAUGAAACAGUUGAACCUGAAAAAUGUGUUCUCACUCCAUUGGUUUAAUACCUAGUCUGAGGUAAAAGGAAAGACAAAGAAAAGGAAG